AUUGAACGCUGGCGGCAGGCCUAACACAUGCAAGUCGAACGAGCGGCGGACGGGUGAGUAAUGUCUGGGAACCUGCCCGAUGGAGGGGGAUAACUACUGGAAACGGUAGCUAAUACCGCAUACUAUCGGAUGUGCCCAGAUGGGAUUAGCUGGUAGGUGAGGUAACGCCUCACCUAGGCGACGAUCCAUAGCUGGUCUGAGAGGAUGAUCAGCCACACUGGAACUGAGACACGGCUCAGACUCCUACGGGAGGCAGCAGUGGGGAAUAUUGCACAAUGGGCGCAAGCCUGAUGCAGCCAUGACGCGUGUAUGAAGAAGGCCUUAGGGUUGUAAAGUACUUUCAGCGGGGAGGCGUUACCCGCAGAAGAAGCACCGGCUAACUCCGUGCCAGCAGCCGCGGUAAUAC
rnacentral:rRNA from 1 species